rnacentral:misc_RNA from 1 species
AAACACACCAUCGCAGUAAAGCGCCGCGGACACCCACCGUGGGACGUAUUGAGAAGCUAGCGAGCGUGACAGCGGGCAAGAAAGCGACGGCCGCCAUUCGACCCCUCCGCUCCACGGUGAUCACGAUUACCAGGGACUGGCGCAACGGUCCCUUCUCUAUUACUCCGUAUUCUCACCCUAAAGGAUAGACGCAGGCAGCUGUUCUUGCGCUAGCAAUAUCAAGUACUAGAAACGCCGUCAGUGCUUCAGUGCAACAGCGACGAUGAGCUCUGAUGACGGUCUCCGCGAAACCGAGCAAGUAGCGGUGCCGCCCGAUGUAAAUAAUGGCGUCGACGUCGAUGCCGCGCCAGCUGAGGAGGCGCAGGCCGCGGGAGAGCAGGAGCCUGCUGGCGCCGAUGCCUACGCCGCGCCAGCUGGGGAGGCGCAGGCCGCGGGAGAGCAGGAGCCUGCUGGCGCCGAUGCCUACGCCGCGCCAGCUGAGGAGGCGCAGGCCGCGGGAGAGCAGGAGCCUGCUGGCGCCGAUACCUACGCCGCGCCAGCUGGGGAGGCGCAGGCCGCGGGAGAGCAGGAGCCUGCUGGCGCCGAUACCUACGCCGCGCCAGCUGGGGAGGCGCAGGCCGCGGGAGAGCAGGAGCCUGCUGGCGCCGAUACCUACGCCGCGCCAGCUGGGGAGGCGCAGGCCGCGGGAGAGCAGGAGCCUGCUGGCGCCGAUACCUACGCCGCGCCAGCUGAAGAGGCGCAGGCCGCGGGAGAGCAGGAGCCUGCUGGCGCCGAUACCUACGCCGCGCCAGCUGAAGAGGCGCAGGCCGCGGGAGAGCAGGAGCCUGCUGGCGCCGAUACCUACGCCGCGCCAGCUGGGGAGGCGCAGGCCGCGGGAGAUCAGGAGCCUGCUGGCGCCGAUACCUACGCCGCGCCAGCUGGGGAGGCGCAGGCCGCGGGAGAGCAGGAGCCUGCUGGCGCCGACGCCUACGCCGCGCCAGCUGAAGAGGCGCAGGCCGCGGGAGAGCAGGAGCCUGCUGGCGCCGAUACCUACGCCGCGCCAGCUGGGGAGGCGCAGGCCGCGGGAGAGCAGGAGCCUGCUGGCGCCGACGCCUACGCCGCGCCAGCUGAAGAGGCGCAGGCCGCGGGAGAGCAGGAGCCUGCUGGCGCCGAUACCUACGCCGCGCCAGCUGAAGAGGCGCAGGCCGCGGGAGAGCAGGAGCCUGCUGGCGCCGAUACCUACGCCGCGCCAGCUGAAGAGGCGCAGGCCGCGGGAGAGCAGGAGCCUGCUGGCGCCGAUGCCUACGCCGCGCCAGCUGAGGAGGCGCAGGCCGCGGGAGAGCAGGAGCCUGCUGGCGCCGAUACCUACGCCGCGCCAGCUGAAGAGGCGCAGGCCGCGGGAGAGCAGGAGCCUGCUGGCGCCGAUGCCUACGCCGCGCCAGCUGGGGAGGCGCAGGCCGCGGGAGAGCAGGAGCCUGCUGGCGCCGAUGCCUACGCCGCGCCAGCUGAGGAGGCGCAGGCCGCGGGAGAGCAGGAGCCUGCUGGCGCCGAUGCCUACGCCGCGCCAGCUGAGGAGGCGCAGGCCGCGGGAGAGCAGGAGCCUGCUGGCGCCGAUACCUACGCCGCGCCAGCUGGGGAGGCGCAGGCCGCGGGAGAGCAGGAGCCUGCUGGCGCCGAUACCUACGCCGCGCUAGCUGAAGAGGCGCAGGCCGCGGGAGAGCAGGAGCCUGCUGGCGCCGAUGCCUACGCCGCGCCAGCUGAGGAGGCGCAGGCCGCGGGAGAGCAGGAGCCUGCUGGCGCCGAUACCUACGCCGCGCCAGCUGGGGAGGCGCAGGCCGCGGGAGAGCAGGAGCCUGCUGGCGCCGAUACCUACGCCGCGCUAGCUGAAGAGGCGCAGGCCGCGGGAGAGCAGGAGCCUGCUGGCGCCGAUGCCUACGCCGCGCUAGCUGAAGAGGCGCAGGCCGCGGGAGAGCAGGAGCCUGCUGGCGCCGAUGCCUACGCCGCGCCAGCUGAGGAGGCGCAGGCCGCGGGAGAGCAGGAGCCUGCUGGCGCCGAUACCUACGCCGCGCCAGCUGGGGAGGCGCAGGCCGCGGGAGAGCAGGAGCCUGCUGGCGCCGAUACCUACGCCGCGCCAGCUGAAGAGGCGCAGGCCGCGGGAGAGCAGGAGCCUGCUGGCGCCGAUACCUACGCCGCGCCAGCUGAAGAGGCGCAGGCCGCGGGAGAGCAGGAGCCUGCUGGCGCCGAUGCCUACGCCGCGCCAGCUGAGGAGGCGCAGGCCGCGGGAGAGCAGGAGCCUGCUGGCGCCGAUACCUACGCCGCGCCAGCUGAAGAGGCGCAGGCCGCGGGAGAGCAGGAGCCUGCUGGCGCCGAUGCCUACGCCGCGCCAGCUGGGGAGGCGCAGGCCGCGGGAGAGCAGGAGCCUGCUGGCGCCGAUGCCUACGCCGCGCCAGCUGAGGAGGCGCAGGCCGCGGGAGAGCAGGAGCCUGCUGGCGCCGAUGCCUACGCCGCGCCAGCUGAGGAGGCGCAGGCCGCGGGAGAGCAGGAGCCUGCUGGCGCCGAUACCUACGCCGCGCCAGCUGGGGAGGCGCAGGCCGCGGGAGAGCAGGAGCCUGCUGGCGCCGAUACCUACGCCGCGCUAGCUGAAGAGGCGCAGGCCGCGGGAGAGCAGGAGCCUGCUGGCGCCGAUGCCUACGCCGCGCCAGCUGAGGAGGCGCAGGCCGCGGGAGAGCAGGAGCCUGCUGGCGCCGAUACCUACGCCGCGCCAGCUGGGGAGGCGCAGGCCGCGGGAGAGCAGGAGCCUGCUGGCGCCGAUACCUACGCCGCGCUAGCUGAAGAGGCGCAGGCCGCGGGAGAGCAGGAGCCUGCUGGCGCCGAUGCCUACGCCGCGCUAGCUGAAGAGGCGCAGGCCGCGGGAGAGCAGGAGCCUGCUGGCGCCGAUGCCUACGCCGCGCCAGCUGAGGAGGCGCAGGCCGCGGGAGAGCAGGAGCCUGCUGGCGCCGAUACCUACGCCGCGCCAGCUGGGGAGGCGCAGGCCGCGGGAGAGCAGGAGCCUGCUGGCGCCGAUACCUACGCCGCGCCAGCUGAAGAGGCGCAGGCCGCGGGAGAGCAGGAGCCUGCUGGCGCCGAUGCCUACGCCGCGCCAGCUGAGGAGGCGCAGGCCGCGGGAGAGCAGGAGCCUGCUGGCGCCGAUACCUACGCCGCGCCAGCUGGGGAGGCGCAGGCCGCGGGAGAGCAGGAGCCUGCUGGCGCCGAUGCCUACGCCGCGCUAGCUGAAGAGGCGCAGGCCGCGGGAGAGCAGGAGCCUGCUGGCGCCGAUACCUACGCCGCGCCAGCUGGGGAGGCGCAGGCCGCGGGAGAGCAGGAGCCUGCUGGCGCCGAUGCCUACGCCGCGCCAGCUGAAGAGGCGCAGGCCGCGGGAGAGCAGGAGCCUGCUGGCGCCGAUACCUACGCCGCGCCAGCUGGGGAGGCGCAGGCCGCGGGAGAGCAGGAGCCUGCUGGCGCCGAUACCUACGCCGCGCCAGCUGAAGAGGCGCAGGCCGCGGGAGAGCAGGAGCCUGCUGGCGCCGAUACCUACGCCGCGCCAGCUGAAGAGGCGCAGGCCGCGGGAGAGCAGGAGCCUGCUGGCGCCGAUACCUACGCCGCGCCAGCUGAGGAUGGUGCAUGCUCGGCACCCAUGCCACAAGCGCGGGCAGAAGCUCCCGACUUGCCACAUGCCGCCACACCAGUCGAAGAAGUCGAAAACAAGGAAGAGCGAAAAGAUGCAGCGGCGACGUAUUCGCCCAUUGCCGCAGACGAUGGCGUUCAGGUUGAUGUUAAGGUCGAAAACGCCUCCGACAUUGCGGAACUGGGCGUUGAUAAAAAGGAAGGUGAGAAUAGCGUGAACCGAUCAGACCGGGCUGUAGAGGACUCAGCUGCAGCCACACCUGCUGCCGUUGCUAUUCCUCCUUCGGAUGCUAGCGCCGUGGCAGAAAUAGCCUUAUCUCCCGCAGCGGGGACUGAGGGAAAACAGCAAGACCGCGCUUCCUCGCCAGAGACGGCCACAGGGCUACCGAAGCCGUCGCCGCCGCCGCACGAUCUGCCAAGGCGGCAACCACAGCAGCAAGUCUCUCAGCCGCAGUCGGAACAGCAGCAGCGGCCCGCUGUCGUGCUGCAUUGCGGCGGUACAACGCUCGCCGCGUCCAUGUCGCCCUACGCGGCCACCGCCGGCGUAGAUGGUGUGUACGACUUGCCGGAAGCGGAGCGCAUCGUCAUGGCCUCCGCGUCGUUGACCCCAAGCACCGCCCUCGUCGUUUUCCGCCGCGGUCACGAGAAUAGUCACGUCAACCGGAUGGACCUAGGCUCCUACUCGCGCUACCUGCUCUCGACCGAUCACAUGUCACCCCUCGUGCUGGAGGACACCUUUCACGGAACGAAGUCCACCGUAGGCGCGGUUCCGCGCAACACCCUCAAGAGAUUGAGUCGCGGCAACGUAAGCGACCCUUACGUCGACGACAGCAUCGCGUCCAGGACGGCGUUGGAGCGCAAGCAGUCCCCGGGAGCAGCCGCGCCGGCUGCUUCCUCGGCUCGCUGCAGCUACCAGCUACCUCGAUCCGUCUUCUCGGCGUCACGCCAAAUGAUGUCGGACUCUUUCGGCGGCACCGCCGCUAGCAGCACCAACCUCCGCCGCGAAAUUGACAUGCUGGGCGAUGCGCACCUGUCAGAGGUUAACACGCUGCGUCAGCAGCGCCGCCGCGAUCCUCGGCAUGGCAAGUCGACGGAAGAACAGAACGACUACAUCUAUUACAACCACCGCAGCAAAGGCUUCUACGUCCCACACGACCCACCGGCCGACACGGUGAUGCUUCAGUAUAACCACCUCUACGGCUUCGGCGACGGCACCCGCUUCGCCCCCGUUGCGCCGCCUCCGAGCAGGGAGAGCGGCAGUGCCGGUGCGCUGGCAGGGACGACGGUGCACCGGCGCAACCCGCACGCGGCCCCGCCUCGCACGUUCGCCGAAACGCGCGGUUGUGCUUUUCCUUUCACCGCCUCGCAGCGACAGCACGCCUACGGUGGCACGGCGUAUCGGCGCAGUCGCAUAACCGCGUCAACGAGGGCGAUUUCAAGCUCAUCUGGCCACGAAAAUCAGCCGCAGCGUGCAGAGACCCAGAAGGGCUCUAGCUCACUGCGCACGGCAAAGGCGGUGGACCUGGGACGGCUGCACUGCACGCAGCGCUCACGCCAGCGCACAAUCGAGGAAGUCAUAGCAGAUCAGCCGCAGCGGUACCUCUGUGGUGCUGAAGGGGUCCGCGGUGCGCUGGUGCGAGACAUCGAGCGAGACAUCGAGGAUGGCAAGCUGCAGUGGAAGGAGGUGCCGCCGGCCAUGCAGAAGGCGAUGGUCUCCGCGACAACGGCAGCUGCGGCGGCAGCACAGCGUAAGCAGUCCGCGCCCUUUGUGAAUGUACCGGCUUCUUCGACCCUCACCGCCUCUGGGCGGCGGCCGCACCGUGUUGAGUCGCUGGCCAUGGCGCCGAGUGCACUGGAAAGCGUGAUGGGUCAGCUGCGUACAGUGCCCGCCAUCACCGCCGCGUCGGGUGGUGAGCCAGGCGCGCGUGGCGGUGCCGCGGCAAAGAUCAUGUCAACGGCGCCGCCCUCCCCAGCCGCCGAGGCGGCGAGAGCGACGAGUCCUGGGCCCGUGACAGGCUCGGCAGCGAGCCCGACACGGCGGAUCCCGGUCGGCUCUGUGGCCGCGGUGGCGUCGCUUCCUGCCAUCUCGCGCCUCAACUAUACCCCCCAGCCAACGAAGCGGUCCAACCCGAGUGCCUUCGUAUGACCACGUCUAUGGAUGCACUACUCGAGAGCUGCCUUCAUUGCUUCCGUACGGUAGACCCCGACGCGCGUUCGUGUCGGCUCCACUAAACCAUCAUCGCCAACUUCUCCAGCGCACCCCAAACCCCUCGCGACGCCCUCGCAAGAGUUCUUUGUUCUUUGGAUUUGCAUCCACUGACUCGCCGGCGUCACAUCGCCAACUCGAUGGGCUUUUUAUCGGGGACCCUUUCACCCCCACCCACCCACCCCGGCGGCGGCGGCGACGUUGCUUUAGGCUGUGACGCGCCACCGGCACCUCCUCCCUCCCCGUGUGUAUGGGUUGUGUAUCUUUAUCUAGUAGCGAUGUAAUCUACGGCUGUCUCUCUGCACCUUUUUUUGCGUUUUCACUGUCGAGGCCCCUGUCACCACAAGGACUCGCUCUUUUCCCUCCUCCUCUGUAUGUACGAGUGUCUCCCCAACACCCACCCUAACUCCCUCUCUCCCUCUUUCUCUUUCUGUGUGUGUGUGUGUGUGUGUGCUUGCGUGACGAUAUAUCAGCUCUCGCCUCUUCUUUGGCCCGCCUGCACAUCUACAUGUCGCGUGUUUUCUUCGUGGUUUGGUCACUGCCCCCUCCUCUCUCCUCCUCCUCCUCCUCCUGGCAAUGUUGUCAUGGUCACUGCAGCGGCCACUCAGAGACCUCAACCCUCCUCCUUCUUUUUCUCCAAGGUUGCGUGUGUCACGCGUGCGCUUGUUUCUCCAUGUGUAUGCGAGGCAUCAUCGAGCGUAUACACAAUUGGCAUGCGCCCUUCUCUCUUCAUCGCGUGCGCAUGUCUCUGUUUCUCCCGCGCUCAUCUCGUGACUCACUACGCCACCGUCGACUUUUCCGCCCCGCCCCCCCCCCCAACACUCUCCCCUCACAAUUCUACCGCGCCUCCUGUGUGUAUGUGGACGUCAUCUCUUUUGCUUCGGGUUGCUGUGCGUGUGUACGUGUUUUGCGUGAUGCACGCACGCGCACACGUACACGUGCACACACCUGCCCCGUUGGAGUCCGUCUGAGCCCUCCUCCCCACCACCACCACCUACAAGCGCGUGCACAGUGCACAUAUGAGCUUGCCCCGUUCAUCCGCUGGCUGCGGGCGCGUCUGCAACGCGCAUGUGCGGGCAUGUGUGAUGCGUUGGCGUUUGGUGUUAUACAAAGCCGUGGGAUGGGGAAGGGAGGGAGGGCGCGUCCGCUUAUUUCGCUCACGUCUUCACUGAUACGUUUUUGCCUUGUCCUCUCUUGUGGGCUCCUCGGCCAUGGUGAUAGGAGAGUAAUCAAGCAACUAAGUGAGCGAGCUGCAUAACGCUCCCCCUCCCUCUCCCUCCCUCCUUCCAUCCCCGAGCACCUUCAGCAUCCGCAUUAAAACGGCAGCUGUCACGCGUCGCCACUGUGCGCACGCCCGCCGCUGUUUGCUGAUUUCCUUUAUUCCUUUGUGAGGGCGGCGGGGUUCGCUUCUUGCCAUGAUGUGUAUUUCUCUUCUUCGUUGGCCGGACUUCGCCAACCGCUGCAGCUCAGCGCGCGCACGGGCGCCUGCCUGAGAUGGCAACGCUGAUGCACAGAAACAGGCGAAAAAGGCUAUGUGGGCGGUGCAAGCUUCAACGCACACACACACAGCACUGCAGCAGCAGC